ensembl:lncRNA
GGUGGCCCCCCUCCCCUUUUAACCCUGCACACCGCUUGCUAUUCAGGAUGGUGGUAAGGCAUUUGGGGGUCAGUGAGAACAGUGAUCCUACACAGCUGGGGAAGCAGAAUGAGUGGGGCGACCAUCACUUAUGAGAACGGGUAAGAGGCUCCCCUCAGGGUCUGGUAAUGCCUGGCAGUGCUCAUGACUGAUGUGAAAGGUGAGCAACUGUGUGUGCAGCUUUUGGUCUCAUUGAGUGAAGCUUCCGUCUUCUGAGUUAUUG